GUCCACGCCCUAAACGAUGUCUACUUGCUGUUGGGGGUAACCUUAGUAGCGAAGCUAACGCGAGAAGUAGACCGCCUGGGGAGUACGGUCGCAAGAUUAAAACUCAAAGGAAUUGACGGGGACCCGCACAAGCGGUGGAUGAUGUGGAUUAAUUCGAUGCAACGCGAAAAACCUUACCUGCUCUUGACAUGUAUGGAAGAUUUCAGAGAUGAGAUUGUGCCUUCGGGAACCAUAACACAGGUGCUGCAUGGCUGUCGU
rnacentral:rRNA from 1 species